GUGACUGCGUACCUUUUGUAUAAUGGGUCAGCGACUUAUAUUCUGUAGCAAGGUUAACCGAAUAGGGGAGCCGGAGGGAAACCGAGUCUUAACCGGGCGUUAAGUUGCAGGGUAUAGACCCGAAACCCGGUGAUCUAGCCAUGGGCAGGUUGAAGGUUGGGUAACACUAACUGGAGGACCGAACCGACUAAUGUUGAAAAAUUAGCGGAUGACCUGUGGCUGGGGGUGAAAGGCCAAUCAAACCGGGAGAUAGCUGGUUCUCCCCGAAAGCUAUUUAGGUAGCGCCUCGUGAAUUCAUCUCCGGGGGUAGAGCACUGUUUCGGCUAGGGGGCCAUCCCGGCUUACCAACCCGAUGCAAACUGCGAAUACCGGAGAAUGUUAUCACGGGAGACACACGGCGGGUGCUAACGUCCGUCGUGAAGAGGGAAACAACCCAGACCGCCAGCUAAGGUCCCAAAGUCAUGGUUAAGUGGGAAACGAUGUGGGAAGGCCCAGACAGCCAGGAUGUUGGCUUAGAAGCAGCCAUCAUUUAAAGAAAGCGUAAUAGCUCACUGGUCGAGUCGGCCUGCGCGGAAGAUGUAACGGGGCUAAACCAUGCACCGAAGCUGCGGCAGCGACACUGUGUGUUGUUGGGUAGGGGAGCGUUCUGUAAGCCUGUGAAGGUGUGUCGUGAGGCAUGCUGGAGGUAUCAGAAGUGCGAAUGCUGACAUAAGUAACGAUAAAGCGGGUGAAAAGCCCGCUCGCCGGAAGACCAAGGGUUCCUGUCCAACGUUAAUCGGGGCAGGGUGAGUCGACCCCUAAGGCGAGGCCGAAAGGCGUAGUCGAUGGGAAACGGGUUAAUAUUCCCGUACUUGGUGUUACUGCGAAGGGGGGACGGAGAAGGCUAUGUUGGCCGGGCGACGGUUGUCCCGGUUUAAGCGUGUAGGUGUGUGUUCCAGGUAAAUCCGGUUCACUUUAACACUGAGGCGUGACGACGAGGCACUACGGUGCUGAAGCAACAAAUGCCCUGCUUCCAGGAAAAGCCUCUAAGCAUCAGGUAACAUCAAAUCGUACCCCAAACCGACACAGGUGGUCAGGUAGAGAAUACCAAGGCGCUUGAGAGAACUCGGGUGAAGGAACUAGGCAAAAUGGUGCCGUAACUUCGGGAGAAGGCACGCUGACACGUAGGUGAAGUGAUUUACUCAUGGAGCUGAAGUCAGUCGAAGAUACCAGCUGGCUGCAACUGUUUAUUAAAAACACAGCACUGUGCAAACACGAAAGUGGACGUAUACGGUGUGACGCCUGCCCGGUGCCGGAAGGUUAAUUGAUGGGGUCAGCGCAAGCGAAGCUCCUGAUCGAAGCCCCGGUAAACGGCGGCCGUAACUAUAACGGUCCUAAGGUAGCGAAAUUCCUUGUCGGGUAAGUUCCGACCUGCACGAAUGGCGUAAUGAUGGCCAGGCUGUCUCCACCCGAGACUCAGUGAAAUUGAACUCGCUGUGAAGAUGCAGUGUACCCGCGGCAAGACGGAAAGACCCCGUGAACCUUUACUAUAGCUUGACACUGAACAUUGAGCCUUGAUGUGUAGGAUAGGUGGGAGGCUUUGAAGUGUGGACGCCAGUCUGCAUGGAGCCGACCUUGAAAUACCACCCUUUAAUGUUUGAUGUUCUAACGUGGACCCGUUACCCGGGUUGCGGACAGUGUCUGGUGGGUAGUUUGACUGGGGCGGUCUCCUCCUAAAGAGUAACGGAGGAGCACGAAGGUUGGCUAAUCCUGGUCGGACAUCAGGAGGUUAGUGCAAUGGCAUAAGCCAGCUUGACUGCGAGCGUGACGGCGCGAGCAGGUGCGAAAGCAGGUCAUAGUGAUCCGGUGGUUCUGAAUGGAAGGGCCAUCGCUCAACGGAUAAAAGGUACUCCGGGGAUAACAGGCUGAUACCGCCCAAGAGUUCAUAUCGACGGCGGUGUUUGGCACCUCGAUGUCGGCUCAUCACAUCCUGGGGCUGAAGUAGGUCCCAAGGGUAUGGCUGUUCGCCAUUUAAAGUGGUACGCGAGCUGGGUUUAGAACGUCGUGAGACAGUUCGGUCCCUAUCUGCCGUGGGCGCUGGAGAACUGAGGGGGGCUGCUCCUAGUACGAGAGGACCGGAGUGGACGCAUCACUGGUGUUCGGGUUGUCAUGCCAAUGGCACUGCCCGGUAGCUAAAUGCGGAAGAGAUAAGUGCUGAAAGCAUCUAAGCACGAAACUUGCCCCGAGAUGAGUUCUCCCUGAGACUUAGAGUCUCCUGAAGGAACGUUGAAGACGACGACGUUGAUAGGCCGGGUGUGUAAGCGCAGCGAUGCGUUGAGCUAACCGGUACUAAUGAACCGUGAGGCUUAACCUUAC
rnacentral:rRNA from 4 species